AUCGAACGCUGGCGGCAGGCCUAACACAUGCAAGUCGAACGAGGGGCGGACGGGUGAGUAAUGUCUGGGAAACUGUCUGAUGGAGGGGGAUAACUACUGGAAACGGUAGCUAAUACCGCAUACCAUCAGAUGUGCCCAGAUGGGAUUAGCUUGUUGGUGGGGUAACGGCUCUCCAAGGCGACGAUCCCUAGCGGGUCUGCGAGGCUGACCAGCCACACUGGAGCGUAGACACGGUCCCGCCUCCUACGGGAGGCAGCAGUGGGGAAUAUUGCGCAAUUGGCGCAAGCCUUAUGCAGCCAUGCCGCGUGUAUGAAGAAGGCCUUCGGGUUGUAAAGUACUUUCAGCGGGGAGGCGUUACCCGCAGAAGAAGCACCGGCUAACUCCGUGCCAGCAGCCGCGGUAAUAC
rnacentral:rRNA from 1 species